rnacentral:lncRNA from 1 species
GUGGUUAAUCUGUUUCUAUACAUUUGUAUUUCUAGAAAAUCAGUUCCUCCUCAUCCUCACAAAACAAAAUCUAAGGGACAAACUCUGACCACCUACUCUCAGAGAGGACACAGGCACACAUUUUCAUGUCACGCUCCUGGGAAUGGAAGUGAAGAAAACCUCUUAUGGGGGAAAGCACUUCAGCCACCCCUGAACAAAGGAAUUUCUAACGCUGACUGUCUGCAUGGUGAGAGAAGAAGAAAUAGAGGGGGGUAUCCAUGGCUGCUUUCACUUGAGGAUAGCAGUCCAGCAGGUGCAGCAGAGAUCACAUUGUCCACAGAGCCUAAAAUAUUUACUACCUGGCCCUUUAUAGGAAAAGUUUGCCAACUCCUGCUCUAAAACAGCUGUACUUUCUCUCUAACAGAAAGAUAGGAGGUAAGUAAAAUAAUUGAAAAUAAUUUCUUAAUGUGCCAUGACUCACGAAAUGAAGUGUUAUGAAAGAGAAUCACUGCAGUGACAGGAUGUGGUUAAAGGCAUCCCUCUUUAAAAUGUGAGCACCCAGAGGGGGGAAUCUUCAAGAGGAGGUCUGAAUCCUGGGACAGAGCUUAUUACUGAGGAAUUUGUAGAUUAUUUAGCUUGCCCAAUAUCCAGUGCCUCUGCUUUGACCUGAACAAAGGAUGACAAAGAAACCAUUCUCCUUUCUGGAAUGAAAAGAUUUCCUUCCCUUUCAAAUGGGAGCCUAGGAUGAUGCAGUGAGGGGAAUGACAGAUGAAAAUGUUCAGCACAGUGUUUGACACCAACUUGGCACUCAACAAACACCCCCUCCUUCCUUCUUGUCCUUGCCACCUGCUGGACUACAAUUGGCCUGCUGCCUGAACUUGCAAAGAUUUGUACAUCAUGAACACAAUGCUUUAUGCUUUAAAAUGGGCAUUGACAUUUAAUAUAGUAAAGUGAGGGUUAGAAAUGUGUCUCCUAACUCAGAAUACAUUGUAUUGUCCAGCUGAUGAAUCCCAGAGGGAAAAAAUGUGCUAGCUCAGUCACCCCAUUUGCGAUUGGGGCACA